rfam:Triticum urartu cultivar G1812 contig529525, whole genome shotgun sequence.
CUUGUACUCCCUCCGUCCGAAAAUACUUGUCAUUGAAAUGGAUGUAUCUAGAUGUAUUUUAGUUCUAGACACAUCCAUUUUGAUGACAAGUAAUUUCGGACGGAGGUGGUACUUG